GACGAACGCUGGCGGCGUGCCUAAUACAUGCAAGUGGGACGCAAGGAAACACACUGUGCUUGCACACCGUGUUUUCUUGAGUCGCGAACGGGUGAGUAACGCGUAGGUAACCUGCCUAUUAGCGGGGGAUAACUAUUGGAAACGAUAGCUAAUACCGCAUAAUAUUAAUUAUUGCAUGAUAAUUGAUUGAAAGAUGCAAGCGCAUCACUAGUAGAUGGACCUGCGUUGUAUUAGCUAGUUGGUAAGGUAAGAGCUUACCAAGGCGACGAUACAUAGCCGACCUGGGGGGGGGAUCGGCCACCCUGGGACUGGGCCACGGCCCAGCCUCCUCCGGGGGGCAGCGGUGGGGAAUCUUCGGCAAUGGAGGAAAGUCUGACCCAGCAACGCCGGGUGGGUGAAGAAGGUUUUCGGAUCGUAAAGCUCUUUUUUAAGUCAAGAACGUGUGUGAGGGGGGAAAGUUCACACGGGGCCGGUAGCUUACCAAAAAGGGCCGGCUAACUACUU
rnacentral:rRNA from 1 species